rnacentral:lncRNA from 1 species
GACAAUUGUAAAAAUAUUUUCUUCAUUCACAAAUAUAAUAUGUGUUUGAAUAUUUUAACAUAGACUACAUACUGAUUGCAAUAAGUGAACAAACACACUAAAACAUGUCUAUAUACAUCCGAUUAACAAUACAUAGUUCAAAAACCAGUAUGUAGACAAAGAGGAAACAAAAUAAACAGAAGAGGAAUUGAACUUUGUACAUGCCUUUAUCCUUUUCUUCUCGUAUCUAUGAAGUUCACAUGCAGUUCUCCUCCAUGGUUUAAAAAACCCGAAGAGAAAUGACUAAAUAACUCAUUAAAGCCCGGAACUCGUCCAACAUGAUCUUCUCAGAGGACAUAAAAGAAUGACUAUAAUAUCCAACUCAUUGUUGGCGACGGUAUUAAAUGUAAUUAGUAUAGCAGUGCCAAUCUCAUGUCAUGUCUCAUGAGGAACUUCUUCAUCCUUGCUUGAAGAAUAGAUCGUCGAGUGAGGUGUCAUACUCGGUCCUCCUGAAGCUCUCUUUGCCUAAUCUUAGUCUUGCCAGCCCGUACUUCGCGGUGUCCAAACAAGAGGCAACUUCUUUUGGAAAUUUCUAGGUGCCCCGUAAUGUACACACACACAAAAUAUGUGAGGACCCCAGUUAGAAAACCGUGGAAAAACAAUAAGAUCAAGUGAGGAAAUAGUGAAAACUUACAUACCAUCAUUUGCACUUCGGUCUUAGUCCUAGUGAAGCGGUGUAUGAAGGAUGGCCAUGUGACACAUGGCAGAGCGGCAAUAGGUUGCACAAUUUAGCUAUGGCAUAAUAACAAUUAGCUAAUUGAACUGUGUAUGACAAAAUACAAGACACACUGAGAAAAAGACACAACAAAUAUGUCCCAAAAAAGGACCAGCUACUCUGCGAACCAAGUUUCGAAAAUAAUUGACAACUUUGAAACUUUCAGCUAGAAUACCGAUUAAUGGAGCUGGAAUACCGACUAAUGGACAGAUUAUAGCAACACAAAAAAUGAAAUAAAAGUUCUAGGAUAGGUGAAGCGCUGCAAGCAUGUAUGUAGCUCUGAGCAUAAAACUCAGUCACAAAUUCCUACGUGUAUCAAUCUAGUUUGGAACACCCUACUCUGAAUUUCCAUCAGAGCAAGAGCACCGCUAUGUUUUCGCAAAAAUCUUCUCAAGCUAAAAUCUGCCCCUCAGAAAGCGGCAAGUAGCCAGUGGAAACACAUAUCAUAGCUGAUCAAGAAACAGGUCAUUGUGUCUACCAAUACAUUCAAUCAUCAGUCGAAUUGACAAAUUGGCAAUACAAAGAAUGCCAAGAUUGAUAAAUGAAUAGUCAUUUCUCUUAGUUCCUUUCAGGCUCAUCUUGUUUGCAAAUGAGCAGUUCAUCAACAUCAGUAGUACCAAACCCAUAUCCAUCUCACCGUCCUUGUACACGAACAGGGAGCAUGCCAACUUACCAAAGGACAAGGAUGCAGGUCAAGGAGAGGUGCUAGUUGAUGCUGAUGGAAAUGGGCUUGAUCUCCUUCAGUGCAGUGGAUGAGAUGGCAGUGACAAUCUGUUCACGUGCAUCAUUCCAUAUUUCUCACCAAUGCCUACAAUUUAUGGAAUAAGAUCAUAUCAUGAAAAAACAAAUAGACUGAAGAAAGAAUAUAGUAAGGACAAUUUUUUUAGGGAAUAUGACUAAAAACACUGAUUGACAAAAAGAAAAAAAUAAAACAAGAGGAUCUGAAGACUGAUAUAUAACUAAAAUCUCAGGAUUAAAAGACUGAAGAAUGAUGCAUUUGUUGCCGUAACACUUUUACAUUCAGUUAAAGAAGUGUGCUGAUAUCUAGAUACAACAGAUGGAUACCCUGUCCUGCAUCAUGCGUUCAUGCAUGUCGAUCUGUAGCGAUGGCAUCGUUGCCAUGAUUGCCCCUUCCAUAGAUCCAACUUGUCAUAGCCGGAUUCAUGCAGAUCGAGGUCACAGUCACCGGAUCCGUGCAGAUCAAGGUCGUGUUCACCAAAUCCGUGCACAUCCAACUUCCAGAUACCUACUGACAAUGGUAUAAAUUCUUGUCCUUUUCUGACUGUUUUUCUGGAGCACAACAUUUAGUUUUAUCCUUGUUAUCAAAUCCGUGCACAUCCAACUUCCAGAUACCUACUGAUAAUGGACUUCCCUGCUGUCCUUUGGUUUGGAGGAAUUUUGUAAGAUUUUCAUAGGAUAGGAUUUCUAUAGGAAAAAUUCCUUCAGAGCUCUUUGGUUUGUAGGAAUGAAAUCAUAUUCCUGUGGAGGAAUUCUUCCUAUCCUUCACAUUUCAUAGGAAAAUAAACAUUAGCCUAGACUCAAUGGAAAAAAUCCUAUGGCGUGAAUUAAAGGGCAUCUCCUUUUCUAUUCCUAUGCAUAGGAUUUGAGAUGCAUGUCAUCUCAUUUCCUAUGACUUUCCUAUUCCUAUGAUUUUCCAAUCCUAUGAACCAAAGGAGGCCUAAAGCGUAAACAUGCAUUUCCUUACCUGCCCUGCUCUUGGCCAUCUACGAGCUGCGUGCUUGUAAGGGAUCGAGGCCGCCCACCCCACCUGAACAACCCAUGGUUGCUGUUGAUUUAGGUGAUUUCCCAACAUAAUUUUUUGUUUGUCUAGGGCUCUAGGCCGUAACUUUUUGGUUGAUUCAUUCAACUUUAUAGCUGCAUAGAAUCGAUGAACUCAGGGCACUAACAGAUUUCUCCUCGAUUGGAAUGUUCAGACCAUCAAAAUAGAGAAUGAAAAGCUUUGUGAGCAUAAACACAAACACUUGGUGGUCAGGGUUUUUUCGGAUUAUCCUAUUUAUGCGAUCUGAGGCAUGAAUCAACAAAAAUAAUGUGUAUGCGCCAACGCAAGGACCCCAGCUCAUUCCACGGUAUGGUAUAGUGGGCGAGAUAAUUUAUUAAUCUUCUCUCUGCUUCAAGGAAGAGACGAAUGAAACUACUGACCUUUCUCUGGCCAGCGGGCAGAGGGCAUGGGAUGGUGUUGUGCAUGUCUAGCGGCGGGAGGAAGGAGGAGCUGGCAUCAGGGAGCACGACGACAGCAGGGAAGUCCAUGCUGCGG